rnacentral:rRNA from 1 species
CGGAUACUGCCAGUGACAAACUGGAGGAAGGCGGGGACGACGUCAAGUCAUCAUGGCCCUUACGACCAGGGCUACACACGUGCUACAAUGGUCGGUACAAAGGGUUGCUACCUAGCGAUAGGAUGCUAAUCUCAAAAAGCCGAUCGUAGUCCGGAUUGGAGUCUGCAACUCGACUCCAUGAAGUCGGAAUCGCUAGUAAUCGCGGAUCAGAAUGCCGCGGUCGAAUACGUUCCCGGGCCUU